CAGCAGCCGCGGUAAUACGUAUGGGUGCAGACUUAUUCGGAUUUACUGGGCGUAAAGGGUGUGCAGACGGUAUGCUAAGUUCGUUGUUUAAUCUUCCGGCCUAACCGGAAGCUUGCGAUGAAAACUGGUAAACUAGAGGGUGGAAGAGAGAAGCGGAAUUCUCGGAGUAGCGGUAAAAUGCGUAGAUCUCGAGAGGAACACCGAUGGCGAAGGCAGCUUCUUGGUCCAUCCCUGACGUUGAGACACGAAAGCGUGGGUAGCAAACAGGAUUAGAUACCCUGGUAGUCCACGCUGUAAACGAUGAUCACUGGGAUGUUGGUAUCGCUCUGCGAUAUCAGUAUCGAAGCUAACGCGUUAAGUAUCCGCCUGGGAAGUACGGUCCGCAAGAUUAAAACUCAAAGGAAUUGACGGGGGUCCGCACAAGCGGUGGAACAUGUGGUUUAAUUCGACACUACGCGAGAAACCUUACCUGGGCUUGACAUGCUCUUGCCCGCCAUGGAAACAUGGUUUUCUGAAUUUCGGUUCAGACGGGAGUACAGGUGCUGCAUGGCUGUCGUCAGCUCGUGUCGUGAAAUGUUUGGUUAAGUCCUCUAACGAGCGCAACCCCUGCUGCUAGUUGCUAUUGCGUAAGCAAGCACUCUAGUGGGACUGCCUGGGAAACCAGGAGGAAGGUGGGGAUGACGUCAAGUCAUCAUGGUCCUUAUGUCCAGGGCUACACACGUGUUACAAUGGCCGAUACAAAGGGGUGCAAUAUCGCGAGAUGGAGCUAAUCCCAGAAAGUCGGUCUAAGUUCGGAUUGGAGUCUGCAAUUCGACUCCAUGAAGUUGAAAUCGCUAGUAAUCGUAUAUCAUAACGAUACGGUGAAUACGUUCUCAGACCUUGUACACACCGCCCGUCACACCACGAAAGCUGUUUGUACCCGUAGCUAUUUAAGCCAACCCGCAAGGGAAGGAAGGGUUGCAGGGUAUAAUCAGCGAUCGGGGUGAAGUCGUAACAAGGUAACCGUA
rnacentral:rRNA from 1 species